GGCCGCUUGGCCCAAUGGUAAGGCGUCUGACUACGACCGAGUGUGCUCCAACACACUUGACAAGAUAUCAGGAGAUUCUGGGUUCGAGCCCCAGGGUGGUCA